CAGAAACUUAAAUGAAUUGACGGGGCCCGCACAAGCGGUGGAGCAUGUGGUUUAAUUCGAUGAUACGCGAGGAACCUUACCUGGGCUCAAAUGUAUGUUGACGUAUUCUGAAAGGGAUACUUCUUCGGACAAUAUACAAGGUGCUGCAUGGUUGUCGUCAGCUCGUGCCGUGAGGUGUCGGGUUAAGUCCCAUAACGAGCGCAACCCCUAUCAUUAGUUGCCAUCAGGUCAAGCUGGGGACUCUAAUGAAACUGCCUACGCAAGUAGUGAGGAAGUGGGGAUGACGUCAAAUCAGCACGGCCCUUACGUCCAGGGCUACACACGUGCUACAAUGGCCGGUACAAAGGGCAGCUACCUGGUGACAGGAUGCUAAUCUCAAAAGCCGGUCUCAGUUCGGAUCGGAGUCUGCAACUCGACUCCAUGAAGUUGGAAUCGCUAGUAAUCGUGGAUCAGCAUGCCACGGUGAAUACGUUCCCGGGCCUU
rnacentral:rRNA from 1 species